rnacentral:lncRNA from 1 species
AGUGAGGUGUAUACAAUACAGACCAAUGAAUAAAUAAAAUGAAGCUAUGAAACUAAACUAAGAAAGAAAAAAGCAACCACUCCCAAGUCCCCGGUGACUCUUCCAAUACCACUUAAUACCUGUCACAUACGACAAAAGAGUGGUACAAGUACAAAAGGAAUACUUGGCUAUACCAACACAUUGUCUUAUAUAGAGGAACAAAGAAACACAGGCAUAGCAAGCAAGCACAACAUAAUUAUUUUAAAUUAGUUCCUAUAUACAUGCUUUCUAUGCUUUGCUAUCACAAAUGCUACAGAAUAAGAAAAGAAUGCGUCGAUAGAGACUAACCGAUUAGGCACCAAACAAUAAUAAUAGAACCCAAAGCAAUUGCAGCAAGGACAAGAUCGAAUGUUUUUUGAAAUCCAAAGUGCCAAAGAACUUCAAAGUACUUUUAAGAGAAAAUAGAGGGAUUAAUAGCAGAUGAGAAGUCUGUCCUCUUAGAGAAAGAGAAUGGUGAGUUUAUAUAGUGAGGAGGGCCGUCCACAAUCCCAAAUAAUGAAGGAAGAGUAAUAUUUAAUGAAGGAAGAAUAACAUAUAAUGAAUCAAUUAAGGGGAUUGUUCCCUUAAAUGGAUGGGGGUAAAUCAAUCCGUUCCGCCAAUCAUACUAUAGUUGCCAUAAAUAAAUAUAUAAGGGUAUGCAUAACAUUUGAAAUUUCCAUGAAUAGAAAAAAUAAAAAGAGAUCCUUCCUACUUAUUAAAUGUAAUCAAGAAGAGGUAUCUAAAUUUACCAUAAUUAACGUGUGAGGGGAUGUCUGACGUCAACCAAAUUUCCUUUUCAGAUUAUAUGCUAAUUAAGGAAAAUAUAAAAUCACACAAAAUUCAGUCAAAUCCAACAAAGGAAAGAUCGGUUAAGCAAAUCAGUCAUACAAAUUAUUUAUUUACCAAAGAAAAGAAGAACUGCCAUAUAGUGAUCACAUAAUCAAGGCAAACGAUAAUUAAUAGUAUUUAAGUUUUAGAAGAAAAUUGACACAAGACUCAAUCAAAAUUAAUUACUUACCAUAAACCAUUGUUAAAGUAAUCAGCCACGUCUCUCAAUUAAAGAUAGUAUAUAAAUCAAUCAACUGUAAAUUCUCAAGUAGGCACAGUGAAGAAUUUUAAAACCCAUCACAAAGGAAAAUAAUCAAUCGUUUAACACGAUAGUAGUACCACAAUUAUAAUAAGGCGAUUACAAAAUCAUAAAACAUGCCAAAAAAAUAGUCAAUAUUAGCAAGCAACAAUCUACAAUGAUUAGUAAUGAGUAUCUUGUCAGAAAGUUAAAACCAAGUCACAAAAGAAGUUGGGAUUUUCUUACCCAUAUUGACUAAGAGGUAUAAAAUAUGUGAAGUUGCAAGAACUUAGGCGUGUUUGCACAUACCAGAGAGAGACGAAAAAAUUGACUUACCAUUCAAGUUAAGCAUCACGAAAUUUCAAUCAAGCAGGACAUUCAAAUAGGGUCGAAUAAAAAUCAUAGACUUAAAAUCAACACAUUUAUUCAGCAAAAAUCAAACGUGGCCACACUCGAUUCGAAGAAUCUUUCUAUGAGAAACACAGAUGAAGAAAUAGUACUAAAGUUCACACACAUAUUUCGAACAGGGGAUCAAACCUGAAGACGGAUUCUCUCAGAAUCCGUCAUUUUCGAUGAGGAAGUGUUGCAGGUUGGAACGCCGAAGGGGUUUGCUGGAGGUAUCGCUGUAGGGAGAGGAGUCGAGGCUGUGUCGCAGCUGUUGGACGUUCUCUAGAGGGGAGAAAGAAGGAGACUGGAGGACGGAGGAUGGAGCGGGGACGUGGAGGCUUGUCUGGACGUCUCCGUCUAUGGCGGUGCCACUGGUGGCGCUGUUCGUCGAUGAAGGAUGAGAAGGGAGGGGGCUGGCCAUCGGAGCAGCGGCUGGGCUCACUUGGGGUAGGCGCUGGCGGCGCGUAUGGAGGAGAAGGAAGAGGCGACGGCGAAGGCUGUUCGCCAGAGAUGGCGACCUGGCGACGAGGACUCGGAGCGGCGGGGGGUGGUUUUGGUGGUCGAUUAGCGACGGAGAGAUCGAAGGAGAGGGGGGAGAUCGAGAUUUGGAGGUGUUUAUAGAGAGAGAAAGAGAGAGGUAGAGAGAUAGAGGCAAAAGUUGGGGAAAAAAAAUUAGGGUUAGCGUUUGUAGGUUUUAAAUAUGGAAAGAGAGAUCUUUUGAUCUCAAUCGUUGGAUUGAUUUUUGAUUGACGACUGAGAUUUAAUGUCAUGGGGGAAUUAAAAUGUGGCUAGAAUGAAAAAUAAUGGUUGAAAUUGUAAGAAUUGGGUUAAGAUUGUAAUGGAUUGGGUAAAAAUAGGCUAUAAUUGUAAGAAAUUAAAUAAAAUUGAAUUAAAAGGUAAAUAAAAUCAGGGAAGGUAAUUUUGACUAGAAUGUUAUUUAAAUUAAAGUAGGAAUAAUAAUAAUAAUAUAUGAUAAUAGUAAUUAAAUAAUAAAUAGUAACAUUAAAUAAUAAAUAAUCACAAAUAUAAUAAAAGAUAAAUAAUAAUAAUGAAAAAAAUUUUAAUUAAAAAAAUAAAAUUACAAAAAUGUCAUUUUUAAUUUUAAAAUAUUAUAAAAAAAUGAUUCUAAAAGAUAAUUGAUGAUUUAUGCAUUUUCUAAAUUAUGAAUGCGAUAUGUCGGAAAUCUGUUUGAUGCAAGAAAAUAUGCAAAAAUACUAAUGUUUAAAAAUUAACGAUUUUGUUAAAAUAACAACCUAAAUGUAGUGUCGGGAGGACAAAAUUGGGAGGCAACAUCACAGUGUAAGAAAGAGACUCUUCGUGUAAGGGAAAAUGGGACAAGUUUUGAUGCGUAGGAUAACAAAGAAUGGACAAACUAAGGUUGUAUUUACCUACGCGAUUUAUAGAAUACGUAAAUCCCCGCCCCCCAAGCAGUCCCAAUAAUUACCAUUACAUCAGUGAGGUUUAUACAAUAUAGACCAAUGAAUAAAUAAAAUGAAGCUAUGAAACUAAACUAAGAAAGAAAUAAGCAACCACUCCCAAGUCCCCGGUGGCUCUUCCAAUACCACUUAAUACCUGUCACAUACGAGCAAAAGAGUGGUACAGGCACAGAAGGAAUACUUGACUAUACCAACACAUUGUCUUAGAGGAACAAACAAAAACAGGCAUAGCAAGCAAGCACAACAUAAUUAUUUUAAAUUAAUUCCUAUAGACAUGUUUUCUAUGCUUUGCUAUCACAAAUGCUACAGAAUAAGAAAAGAAUGGGUCGAUAGAGACUAACCGAUUAGGCACCAAACAAUAAUAAUAGAACCCAAAGUAAUUGCAGCAAGGACAAUACCAAAUGUUUUUCGAAAUCCAAAGUGCCAAAGAACUUUAAAGUACUUUUAAGAGAAAAUAGAGGGAGUAAUAGCGGAGGAGAAGUCUGUCCUCUUAGAGAAAGAGAAUGGUGAGUUUAUAUAGUGAGGAGGGCCGUCCACAAUCCCAAAUAAUGAAGGAAGAAUAAUAUUUAAUGAAGGAAGAAUAACAUAUAAUGAAUCAAUUAAGGGGAUUGUUCCCUUAAAUGGAUGUGAGUAAAUCAAUCCGUUCCACCAAUCAUACUAUAGUUGCCAUAAAUAAAUAAACAAGGGUAUG